GACAGAGGUGCCGAGCGUUAGGCGGAAUCACUGGGCUUAAAGCGUGUGUAGGCGGGUCGUUAAGUGUCUUGUGAAAUCCCACCGCUCACCGGUGGAACGGCUGGGCAUACUGGCGACCUUGAGAGGCCUAGGGGCAGACGGAACAAGCGGUGGAGCGGUGAAAUGCGUAGAUAUCGCUUGGAACGCCGACGGCGAAAGCAGUCUGCUGGGGGCCUUCCGACGCUGAGACACGAAAGCCAGGGGAGCGAACGGG
rnacentral:rRNA from 1 species